rnacentral:rRNA from 1 species
CUGAUCAGCCAUGCCGCGUGUGUGAAGAAGGCCUUAUGGUUGUAAAGCACUUUAAGCGAGGAGGAGGCUACUUUAGAUAAUACCUAGAGAUAGUGGACGUUACUCGCAGAAUAAGCACCGGCUAACUCUGUGCCAGCAGCCGCGGUAAUACAGAGGGUGCAAGCGUUAAUCGGAUUUACUGGGCGUAAAGCGCGCGUAGGCGGCUAAUUAAGUCAAAUGUGAAAUCCCCGAGCUUAACUUGGGAAUUGCAUUCGAUACUGGUUAGCUAGAGUGUGGGAGAGGAUGGUAGAAUUCCAGGUGUAGCGGUGAAAUGCGUAGAGAUCUGGAGGAAUACCGAUGGCGAAGGCAGCCAUCUGGCCUAACACUGACGCUGAGGUGCGAAAGCAUGGGGAGCAAACAGGAUUAGAUACCCUGGUAGUCCAUGCCGUAAACGAUGUCUACUAGCCGUUGGGGCCUUUGAGGCUUUAGUGGCGCAGCUAACGCGAUAAGUAGACCGCCUGGGGAGUACGGUCGCAAGACUAAAACUCAAAUGAAUUGACGGGGGCCCGCACAAGCGGUGGAGCAUGUGGUUUAAUUCGAUGCAACGCGAAGAACCUUACCUGGCCUUGACAUAGUAAGAACUUUCCAGAGAUGGAUUGGUGCCUUCGGGAACUUACAUACAGGUGCUGCAUGGCUGUCGUCAGCUCGUGUCGUGAGAUGUUGGGUUAAGUCCCGCAACGAGCGCAACCCUUUUCCUUAUUUGCCAGCGAGUAAUGUCGGGAACUUUAAGGAUACUGCCAGUGACAAACUGGAGGAAGGCGGGGACGACGUCAAGUCAUCAUGGCCCUUACGGCCAGGGCUACACACGUGCUACAAUGGUCGGUACAAAGGGUUGCUACCUAGCGAUAGGAUGCUAAUCUCAAAAAGCCGAUCGUAGUCCGGAUUGGAGUCUGCAACUCGACUCCAUGAAGUCGGAAUCGCUAGUAAUCGCGGAUCAGAAUGCCGCGGUGAAUACGUUCCCGGGCCUUGUACACACCGCCCGUCACACCAUGGGAGUUUGUUGCACCAGAAGUAGCUAGCCU